GACGAACGCUGGCGGCGUGCUUAACACAUGCAAGUCGAACGAAGAGGCGAACGGGUGAGUAACGCGUAAUCAACCUGCCCUUCAGAGGGGGAAAACAGUUGGAAACGACUGCUAAUCCCGAAUAAUGAAGGAGGGGAGUGAGUCUGAUUCGCUAGUUUGAGGGGUAACGGCCCACAAAGGCGUUGAUCAGUCGCCGGUCUGAGAGGAGUAUCGGCCACAUUGGGACUGAGACACGGCCCAGACUCCUACGGGAGGCAGCAGUGGGGAAUCUUCCGCAAUGGACGAAAGUCUGACGGAGCAACGCCGCGUGAGUGAUGACGGCCUUCGGGUUGUAAAGCUCUGUUAAUCGGGACGCGGUACCGGAAUAGAAAGCCACGGCUAACUACGUGCCAGCCGCCGCGGUAAUAC
rnacentral:rRNA from 1 species